CACUUUGUCCACAGUCUCUGUGCUUCGUCCUCGUUGUCUUGGUGUGGCUUCACUUCACUGGUCUGUGUAGCACACGGGUUCUCGGCUAUUCUGUCUGGUACGAUAUGUCCACCGGAAGCACUAUGCGAAACCGGAAUACCUUCACUUCCCAUUUGAUCAGGUUCCCUUUCGAAACCUGGACUUUCCUUCAGUUUAUGUCUGAAGCUACGGAUACACUCAUCUUCGUCACCCGAUGACGUGUGAGUUAUGCAGAUGUAAUUCAGGAAUUCCCACUGAGAGUUGCUCCAGGAAUUCCUACCGAUGAUUGCAUCAAGAAGUCUCACCGGGGGAUUCCGGUGGGAAUUCGUGCAGCAAUCCCCGGCUAGAUAUCCUGAUGCCGUCGUUGGGAAUUUUUGAAGAAUUCCUCGGUUGGACUUCCUGGAGCAAUCCUCGGUAGCAAUUCUAGGCGGAAUCUCCGGAUGCAAUUAGUGGUAAGAAUUCCUAGAGGUUUCUCUGGUGGGCAUUCCUAGAAAAAUCUUCAAAGCGAACACUAAAAUUCUCACUGUAGAAAUUUCCCAUUUCCUACUUAGAAACUUCCGAAAGUUUCCCUCAGGGAAUUCUAAAGUAGGUCCUUCCGAGAAUCCUCUGGAAAUUUUCCCACAACCAGUGAGCCAAGAAAUGCCCCAACAAUUCAGCAUCUGGAGGAAUACAAUUAAGCGCUCCCGAAUGAAUCUCCUUGAAGAUCCUAUCCGAAAUUUACCCUGAAAAUCCCUUCCGGGGAUGUUCAUGCAGUUCGUUUCCAUCCUGCAACCAUGUUUUACGAACACUGCGUUGUUUUUGUUGUGCUGGUAACAAUGGUAACAUCAGGUGAAAAUUUUUGACAAAUCUAAAUCAGUGAACUGAAAUUAUCGACAACUGUGAUGCUGCAAGGGCUGUCGGCAAGAACCGUCAAAAGCGAAUCACCCCUCACCACAGCGUAAAAAGCUGGAUAA